ACAGGCUUUGGAGUCAGAGGCUGUUGCACUAUACAGUAUCUAUGUUAGUAUUGAGGGCAUUGCAUUUUAAAAAGCUGUCAUUUUGAUCGCUGAAGUGCCUGUUCAGUUUCGAUUAACAGAAGUGAACUCCUGUACCAGCUUUUUGUAAUGCAUUCUAAGGACUAUUCAAUGCUGUGAUACAUUUGAAUUAUGGUGAUAACUUCUACUACUGGUAACAACAAAGAACGAUGGCAAUAAGGUCAGAUAUAAGCCUGUCUGUCUUUGAAGGAAAAUCUUGCUACAAUGUUAUGAAUUAUGACCCUAAACAACAUAUCUAGUGAAUUAUCGAUCUUGCAAAGGAAUUUUCAUCAUGCCACAGGACACCCUCUUUGCUGAACUCCAAGGCCUGCAUUGAUAUAUAUACCCUUGUUUAAAAUGGUGUACCAUUGCUUUCACGGCAUAGAAGUGUAUAGUUCCCCAUUACUCCCCAUUGUUUCUAUGAAAUGAAUAACACUGGUAUGACAUAGGCACCAUUUGGAAUUAAUGCUUGUAACUGAUUUUAAGACUCUGCAUUUCCUUUUAGUUACGUGCUAAUAUCCAACACAAAUAUAAAAAUGCCCUAAAUGUAUACAUAAAUAAUGCUUUAAAAUGUAUAUAUAAAACAGAAAAAAAGCAUGUGACAUUAACUGUAGUUUUUGUUAUUGAAUUUGUCACUUUGAAGAAAAUAUGUAUCUUCUGAUUAAUUUUGUGCAUGAUAACAUAUUGUGUGGUUCCAGGCUUUAUACAAUCAAGUUACCUUACAGACUUAUAAAAAUGGAAAGUUUGGAAACCAUGGUUUUCGUAUGUCAGAAUAGUUUAUACUCGGUUGUAUAUUUAAGGUAAGAACAGCUCCAAAGUAACAUGAACAGCAGUAACACAAACACUCAUUGCUCCCCCAUCUUGAAAGGACUCAGUUGGGGUAGUUUAGGUGUCACGUUAGGUCACCCCUUGGGUUCUCCCACAAGAGGUGCACCUGGCAAAACCCAGUAGGAGGGGGCCUUGGAGCAGAUCCAGAACACAUUAGAUGGAUGAGAUCUCCUAGCUUGUCUGGGAAUAUCUGGGAAUCCUGCAGCAUGAGCUGCAGACUAUUGGUGGGGAUAAGAUAGUCUGAUCUGUCCUGCCCUGCUUACUGCACUAUAACCCACACUAGAACUAGCAGAUUAUAAAGUGAUGAUGACAGUGAUGAUGAUGAUGAUAACCAGCACUAAAUUACCCUACAUGCAUUUCUGUUUUCAUUUAACUGCCUUACAAUGUUCAUCUUUGAUGUUUUAACCCAGCUCUGUUGCAAUAGAGGAAUAAAGCUCUAGCUAUGAACCAGAAGAAACUAAUCUGGCAAGUUGUUUGGGUGUAGAAAGAGCCACAUCAGAGAAUGCAGGAAGGAGUAGCACCUGCUUGCCUACCAUAAGGGUGGGAAUGGUGGUCUGAUUGGCUUUGUCGUCUUAUGCAGGUGAUGAAGUUGUGGCCAUUAACUGGGGCUAUGGGCUUGACUUAUGAAGCCGUGACAAUAAUCCUCAAUAGCAUGUGGGUGGAAGCACUCACAUGCAUGGGGGGUGCAUAGUAGACAGCCACAGUGAGAAG